rnacentral:tRNA from 1 species
GGGGCUGUAACUCAGUUGGCAGAGUGCUUGCAUGGCAUGCAAGAUGUCGUCGGUUCGACUCCGAUCAGCUCCACCA